CCAUACGUUUUGGCCAAUUCAUGGCGCACUCCCCGCUUGUUUCUCUUUACGCAUCAUUAGCAGCCGCCUGGCAGAUCACCAUGUCGCGCGUGGGGAAGGGAGGAUCGAAAUCAAAUGAUUAUUUUGUGCGAGUCGGUUUAUGCGGUAAAGCGAUACGAUUGCAUGAUGACAUGACAUCGCAAUAACCAAAAACCUGCCACCGGAAAAUUGACAGCACCAGCACGCCAUCCGCCAACCAACGUGGAUGGGGGAAAUUUGAGUAUGAGCUAAUGGAAAUAAAUAAUAACCGCAUGGAGUUGAGUUGUA